rnacentral:rRNA from 1 species
AUUAUACGGCGAAACUGCGAAUGGCUCAUUAUAUAAGUUAUCGUUUAUUUGAUAGUAUCUUGCUACUUGGAUAACCGUGGUAAUUCUAGAGCUAAUACAUGCUAAAAAUCCCGACUUCGGAAGGGAUGUAUUUAUUAGAUUAAAAACCAAUGCCCUCUGGGCUCUCUUGGUGAAUCAUGAUAACUUCUCGAAUCGCAGGGCCUUGCGCCGGCGAUGGUUCAUUCAAAUUUCUUCCCUAUCAACUUUCGAUGUUUGGGUAGUGGCCAAACAUGGUUGCAACGGGUAACGGAGGGUUAGGGCUCGACCCCGGAGAAGGAGCCUGAGAAACGGCUACUACAUCCAAGGAAGGCAGCAGGCGCGCAAAUUACCCAAUCCCGAUCCGGGGAGGUAGUGACAAUAAAUACUGAUACAGGGCUCUUUUGGGUCUUGUAAUUGGAAUGAGUACAAUUUAAAUCCCUUAACGAGGAACAAUUGGAGGGCAAGUCUGGUGCCAGCAGCCGCGGUAAUUCCAGCUCCAAUAGCGUAUAUUAAAGUUGUUGUGGUUAAAAAGCUCGUAGUUGAACCUUGGGCCUGGCUGGCCGGUCCGCCUCACCGCGUGCACUGGUCCGGCCGGGCCUUUCCCUCUGUGGAACCCCAUGCCCUUCACUGGGUGUGGCGGGGAAACAGGACUUUUACUUUGAAAAAAUUAGAGUGCUCCAGGCAGGCCUAUGCUCGAAUACAUUAGCAUGGAAUAAUGAAAUAGGACGUGCGGUUCUAUUUUGUUGGUUUCUAGGACCGCCGUAAUGAUUAAUAGGGACAGUCGGGGGCAUCAGUAUUCAAUUGUCAGAGGUGAAAUUCUUGGAUUUAUUGAAGACUAACUACUGCGAAAGCAUUUGCCAAGGAUGUUUUCAUUAAUCAGGAACGAAAGUUAGGGGAUCGAAGACGAUCAGAUACCGUCGUAGUCUUAACCAUAAACUAUGCCGACUAGGGAUCGGACGAUGUUAUUUUUUGACUCGUUCGGCACCUUACGAGAAAUCAAAGUGCUUGGGCUCCAGGGGGAGUAUGGUCGCAAGGCUGAAACUUAAAGAAAUUGACGGAAGGGCACCACCAGGGGUAAACCUGACCUGUGAAGCCGCAGUCAACUCUGCUCCAGAAAGCCGCCCGAAAGGGUCGGUGGUGUUCCUAGGGGAGAGCUCUCCCCUAAACUAAUGGCUAGUCCUGCCGCCCGCGGCAGGGCGACACCCUCAAACUGACGGGGAACUCCUAAAGCCCUCGCUCCGGACAGGCGUCGGGAAACCGACGGCCUGCUCACCAGGCUAACGACCUCGGGUAUCGGAAGCAACGCGAGAGGAUGCUACAAUGGACAAUCCGCAGCCAAGCCCCUACGGUGCGGCCUCUACGGGGGUCGCAUACGGGGAAGGUUCAGAGACUUGACGGGGGUGGGUGGCGCGGGCUCUUGGGGUGCAAGCCGCGUGCUUGCUUGCAGGCCCAGGCGCCCGCCGCUGCCUAAGAUAAAGUCCGGGCGUGCGCGAAAGCGUGCGCGGCAACCACGCAACCCGCCGUUUCCAGCGGGUGCGAGGCCCCAGAAGUAAAAACAACCGGGAGCCUGCGGCUUAAUUUGACUCAACACGGGGAAACUCACCAGGUCCAGACACAAUGAGGAUUGACAGAUUGAGAGCUCUUUCUUGAUUUUGUGGGUGGUGGUGCAUGGCCGUUCUUAGUUGGUGGAGUGAUUUGUCUGCUUAAUUGCGAUAACGAACGAGACCUUAACCUGCUAAAUAGCCCGUAUUGCUUUGGCAGUACGCCGGCUCUUAG